CCUACGGGGGGCAGCAGUGGGGAAUAUUGGACAAUGGGCGCAAGCCUGAUCCAGCUAUUCCGCGUGUGGGAUGACGGCCCUCGGGUUGUAAACCACUUUAGUAGAGAAAGAAAAGGAGCGAUCGAAUAAAUAGCUCCGCUGACGGUACUCUAAGAAUAAGCACCGGCUAACUACGUGCCAGCAGCCGCGGUAAUACGUAGGGUGCGAGCGUUAAUCGGAAUGACUGGGCGUAAAGGGUGCGUAGGUGGUUUGACAAGUUGGUAGCGUAACUCCGAGGCUCAACCUCGGCACUACUACCAAAACUGUCUGACUUGAGUGCAGGAGGGGCAAUUGGAAUUCCUGGUGUAGCGGUGGAAUGCGCAGAUAUUAGGAGGAACACCGGUGGCGAAGGCGAAUUGCUGGACUGUAACUGACACUGAGGCACGAAAGCGUGGGGAGCAAACAGGAUUAGAUACCCUGGUAGUC
rnacentral:rRNA from 1 species